rnacentral:rRNA from 1 species
AGACGGAGGGGGCUAGCGUUAUUCGGAAUUACUGGGCGUAAAGGGCGCGUAGGCGGAUUAGUAAGUUGGGAGUGAAAGCCCGGGGCUUAACCUCGGAACUGCUUUCAAAACUGCUAGUCUUGAGUGAAGUAGGGGGUGAUGGAAUUCCUAGUGUAGAGGUGAAAUUCUUAGAUAUUAGGAGGAACACCGGUGGCGAAGGCGGUCACCUGGACCUCAACUGACGCUGCGGCGCGAAAGCGUGGGGAGCAAACAGGAUUAGAAACCCUAGUAGUCC